rnacentral:rRNA from 1 species
GGGCCCGCACAAGCGGUGGAGCAUGUGGUUUAAUUCGAUGAUACGCGAGGAACCUUACCAGGGCUUAAAUGUAGAACGACCGAUUUGGAAACAAGUCUUCUCUUUGAGCGGUCUACAAGGUGCUGCAUGGUUGUCGUCAGCUCGUGCCGUGAGGUGUCGGGUUAAGUCCCUUAACGAGCGCAACCCCUAUCUCUAGUUGCCAGCGGAUAAUGCCGGGGACUCUAGAGAAACUGCCCGUGCAAACGGUGAGGAAGGUGGGGAUGACGUCAAAUCAUCACGGCCCUUACGUCCUGGGCUACACACGUGCUACAAUGGUCGGUACAGAGGGCAGCUACCACGUGAGUGGAUGCAAAUCUCGAAAGCCGAUCUCAGUUCGGAUUGAAGUCUGCAACUCGACUUCAUGAAGCUGGAAUCGCUAGUAA